rnacentral:rRNA from 1 species
CCCUUAGAUGUUCUGGGCUGCACGCGUGUUACAAUCGGGAGUACAACAAGAUUGCAAAUCCUAGUGGAUGAGUGGUUCUUCGAAAUUUUCUGAAGACUGGGAUAGUUGAUUGAAAUUAUUCAACUCGAACGAGGAAUUCCUUGUAAUUGUAAUUCAUUAUAUUGUAAUGAAUACGUCCCUGCCCUUUGUACACACUGCCCGUCGCUCCUACCGAUUGAACGAUCCGGUGAAUUAUUUGGAGUAGCCCUGGAAGUUGCAGAACUUCCUAUGUCACGAAAUUUUGUAAACCUUAUCGUUUAGAGGAAGGAAAAGUCGUAACA